rnacentral:rRNA from 1 species
AUUGAACGCUGGCGGCAGGCCUAACACAUGCAAGUCGAGCGGAUGAAGGGAGCUUGCUCCUGGAUUCAGCGGCGGGCGGGUGAGUAAUGCCUAGGAAUCUGCCUGGUAGUGGGGGAUAACGUCCGGAAACGGGCGCUAAUACCGCAUACGUCCUGAGGGAGAAAGUGGGGGAUCUUCGGACCUCACGCUAUCAGAUGAGCCUAGGUCGGAUUAGCUAGUUGGUGGGGUAAAGGCCUACCAAGGCGACGAUCCGUAACUGGUCUGAGAGGAUGAUCAGUCACACUGGAACUGAGACACGGUCCAGACUCCUACGGGAGGCAGCAGUGGUGAAUAUUGGACAAUGGGCGAAAGCCUGAUCCAGCCAUGCCGCGUGUGUGAAGAAGGUCUUCGGAUUGUAAAGCACUUUAAGUUGGGAGGAAGGGCAGUAAGUUAAUACCUUGCUGUUUUGACGUUACCAACAGAAUAAGCACCGGCUAACUUCGUG